rnacentral:tRNA from 1 species
GGGCCGUUAGCUCAGUUGGUAGAGCAGUAGACUCUUAAUCUAUUUGUCGAGGGUUCGACCCCCUCACGACCCACCA